rnacentral:misc_RNA from 1 species
UACGUAGGGGGCAAGCGUUGUCCGGAAUUAUUGGGCGUAAAGCGCGCGCAGGCGGUCCUUUAAGUCUGAUGUGAAAUCUUGCGGCUUAACCGCAAGCGGUCAUUGGAAACUGGCAAGCUAGAGUACGGUAGAGGGUGGUGGAAUUUCCUGUGUAGCGGUGAAAUGCGUAGAUAUAGGAAGGAACACCAGUGGCGAAGGCGACUCUUUGGCCUAUAACUGACGCUGAGGCGCGAAAGCGUGGGGAGCAAACAGG